rnacentral:snRNA from 1 species
UUUUGUGCCCAAUUCAGCAGCCCAUAUACCAAAAAACAAAAAAAUUGAAAUCAUAGAGAAGAUUAGCAUGGCCCCUGAACAAGGAUGAUACGCAAAUUCAUAAACUAAACUUUCUUCUU